rnacentral:rRNA from 1 species
AUUCUCCCGAUACUCGACCGCCGGGGCACUACAGGCUUUUAGUUCAUUCUAAAGGUCUCGAAGCCCCGGUGAGUAGGAGGGUCGCGGUGGUGAGCGCCGAAGGGUUCGGCGUGAGCCGGCCUGGAGCCUCCACCGGUGCAGAUCUUGGUGGUAGUAGCAAAUAAUCGAGAGAGACUUCCUUGAAGGCCGAAGUGGAGAAGGGUUCCAUGUGAACAUCAGUUGGACAUGGGUUAGUCGCUCCUAAGCCCAAGGCGAAAGCCUGAUCCCACGCUAGCGGCAACGACCAAUCGAGAGAUACAUAGAGUGUGUCCAAUAAUGGAAGUAUGAGAAAGAGAGGAAA